rnacentral:rRNA from 1 species
UACGGAGGGCGCAAGCGUUGUUCGGAAUCACUGGGCGUAAAGCGCGUGUAGGCGGCUUGGUAAGUCGGGUGUGAAAGCCCGGGGCCUAACCCCGGAACUGCACUCGAAACUGCCUCGCUAGAGUCUCGGAGAGGGUGGUGGAAUUCCCGGUGUAGAGGUGAAAUUCGUAGAUAUCAGGAGGAACACCAGCGGCGAAGGCGGCCACCUGGACGAUGACUGACGCUGAGACGCGAAAGCGUGGGGAGCAAACAGG